UACCAUUGUAUGACUCCCUCCGAACAGGUU
rnacentral:piRNA from 1 species